UACGAAGGGGGCGAGCGUUGUUCGGAGUUACUGGGCGUAAAGGGUGUGUAGGCGGUUCUUUAAGUUUGGUGUGAAAUCUCCCGGCUCAACCGGGAGGGUGCGCCGAAUACUGAGGGACUCGAGUGCGGGAGAGGAAAGUGGAAUUCCUGGUGUAGCGGUGAAAUGCGUAGAUAUCAGGAGGAACACCGGUGGUGUAGACGGCUUUCUGGACCGUAACUGACGCUGAGACACGAAAGCGUGGGUAGCAAACAGG
rnacentral:rRNA from 1 species